GAUGAACGCUAGCGGCAGGCUUAAUACAUGCAAGUCGAGGGGUAACAGGGGUAGCAAUACCUGCUGACGACCGGCAAACGGUUGCGGAACACGUACGCCACCUUCCCAAAACUGGUGAAUAUCCCUCCGCAAGGAGGCUUAAUAACCCGUAACAUAAUGAAGUGGCAUCACUUUAUUAUUCUAACUCCGGUGGUUUGGGAGGGGCGUGCGACUGAUUAGGUAGUUGGCGGGGUAACGGCCCACCAAGCCUGCGAUCAGUAACUGGUGUGAGAGCACGACCAGUCACACGGGCACUGAGACACGGGCCCGACUCCUACGGGAGGCAGCAGUAAGGAAUAUUGGUCAAUGGACGAAAGUCUGAACCAGCCAUGCCGCGUGAAGGAUGAAGGUCCUCUGGAUUGUAAACUUCUUUUAUAGGGGACGAAAAAAGGGAAUUCUUUCUCACUUGACGGUACCCUAGGAAUAAGCACCGGCUAACUCCGUGCCAGCAGCCGCCGUAACAC
rnacentral:rRNA from 1 species